rnacentral:tmRNA from 1 species
GGGGGUGUCUUGGUUUCGACAGGAUUUCGUUUGAUUCAGGGUGCAGUGGUGUGGCUACCUAAAGGCUAAAAAAAUAACUGGAAACAGACUUUCUUUCGCUGCUUAAUUAGCCUCUAAAAAGCUAUCAGCGCGUCCGGUACGGCUUUCCCAUUGGGCCAUACCCUGACGUCAGAAACGAUGGGUAAGUGCAGAGUAGUUCGCUCAGCGAGACUGCACCGACAAUCCAGUGAGCAAAUCAACGCUUGUUUGUCUAUUUCUUAAGGGUUGAUCAAAAGCAAAUGGAAUAAACUGUAGACCUCUGAAUGUGGGACACUUCUUGGACAGGAGUUCAAUUCUCCUCACCUCCACCA